rnacentral:rRNA from 1 species
AAGAGCCCACCAAGGCGAUGAUCCGUAGCUGGUCUGAGAGGAUGACCAGCCACACUGGGACUGAGACACGGCCCAGACUCCUACGGGAGGCAGCAGUGGGGAAUAUUGGACAAUGGGGGCAACCCUGAUCCAGCCAUGCCGCGUGUGUGAAGAAGGCCUUCGGGUUGUAAAGCACUUUCAGCUGUGAGGAAAGGUGAGUGGUUAAUACCCGCUUACUGUGACGUUAACAGCAGAAGAAGGACCGGCUAACUCCGUGCCAGCAGCCGCGGUAAUACGGAGGGUCCGAGCGUUAAUCGGAAUUACUGGGCGUAAAGCGCGCGUAGGUGGUUCAGUCAGUCAGAUGUGAAAGCCCCGGGCUCAACCUGGGAACUGCACCUGAUACUGCUGAGCUAGAGUACGGUAGAGGGCAGUGGAAUUUCCGGUGUAGCGGUGAAAUGCGUAGAGAUCGGAAGGAACACCAGUGGCGAAGGCGACUGCCUGGACCGAUACUGACACUGAGGUGCGAAAGCGUGGGUAGCAAACAGGAUUAGAUACCCUGGU